rnacentral:rRNA from 1 species
GUGGGGAAUCUUCCGCAAUGGACGAAAGUCUGACGGAGCAACGCCGCGUGAGUGAAGAAGGUUUUCGGAUCGUAAAGCUCUUUCGUUAGGGACGAACGUGCUCUUUGUGAAUAAUGAGGAGUAAUGACGGUACCUAAAUAAGAAGCCACGGCUAACUACGUGCCAGCAGCCGCGGUAAUACGUAGGUGGCAAGCGUUGUCCGGAAUUAUUGGGCGUAAAGUGCGCGCAGGCGGGAUAUCAAGUCUGUCUUAAAAGUGCGAGGCUCAACCUCGUGAGGGGACAGAAACUGGUAUUCUUGAGUGUCGGAGAGGAAAGUGGAAUUCCAAGUGUAGCGGUGAAAUGCGUAGAGAUUUGGAAGAACACCAGUGGCGAAGGCGACUUUCUGGACGAUGUCUGACGCUGAGGCGCGAAAGCUAGGGGAGCGAACGGGAUUAGAAACCCUGGUAGUCC